CUUUCUUUCCCUUUUGCGCGCGUUCGAUAUGCUUGUCUCUACUACCAACUCCUCAGCUCCACAGCCCGCUUCCCGCAACCCAUCUCGAGGGGCGGAGGAGAGGGAGCGCCCACCAAAGAAAGGGCUAGUGAGCCCUAAAACCUCGGCAGUUUUCCCGGUGCGGGAGCUUUAGCACACAUCAGCCCAAUAAUCAGAUGCAGGAAUAAAGCAGGAAGAAGGCUCCUCUCUCCAUCGCACCCCAUCCUUCCUAAGGAAGAAAAAAAGCAUGCAGCAGGAGUUUAGCUGGACGUCUAGGUCCUUUUAUGGGGCGAACAGGCCCGCAAAGCAGGCUGUCUGGAACCUGGAGGAAGAAAGUUGUCCGGCCAAGUGGAUGCCUGGGCGUGAGGGAGUGCAAGGCACCCUGUCCCGAGCCCGCCAGGGGUAGGGGCCAAGGGGAAAGAGACCGGCAUUCGUUUAAGAACCAGCCCCGCGCGCGGCCAGCUGCAGCCGCCGGCGAGCCGACUGGGGAGGGGUGUGGACGCCGAGGCCCGCGGAGUGGUGCCCGCAGCUCUACUUACAUAACGCUUCAACUUUUUCUCCGGGGGGGACUUGCGGAGCCAUCCGGAGCAGACCACUUCACCACCGCUCAUGGUGCGCGCGUCUCGGGCUCCGGGCCGGGCAGCUGAGGGGCGGCGGGCGCGCUCCCGACACAGCCGACGCCUGCCGAGCGCGCAGUGGCGAGAACCUAGCUCUCCUGGUCGCGCACCCCGGACGGACUGGGCGGACAGACUCCACGGUGCGCGGGUUCCACGAGUUCGAGUCUCUCCUCUGCAGGCCCACGAACCUGAACAGAACGCGAGCCGGGGCCGCGGGCGCGCCGGCCUCCUUUCAGUGCGCCCGCCUCGCCUCCAGACGUGCCGUCUCGCCAGCUGCCUCAGCAGCGCUCGGACUCAGCGGGACUCUGCCCCGACUCGGUGCCGGAGCUUCUGUCCUUUGCGCUCCGCCCCCUAGGGACAAGACCUCCCCAGAGCGCUUUCCGAAACAGACACAGCGCUGCUCACACACACACACACACACACACACACACACAAUGCCCCGCGCGGUGCCCGCUCGCCCGCCCACCCGCCCUCGGUUUCGAUGCGCCCGGAGCGAUCCUCCUUCCCUCUCCUCGGGGGAGGGUGGGUCACUUCGCGGCGCUCGGUGAACGCCGAGGAAAGGGGAAGCCGCGAGCCGCCUACGGGCAGCGGGCGCGGGGCUGGUCCCGGGUCACAGAGGGAGCCGCAGGGUUGGCAGCGAAGCGCGGGGCGUUUCUGAGCGGCGGGCGCAGGGAGGUCGCAGGUCAAGCCGGAGGGUGGGUCCGCUCUCGCGGCCGCCGAAGAGGGCGGGGAGCAGCAGAGGAACGAGGCGCUUGGCGGCUUGGCUCCUGGGAGGGAUCCCGCUGUCCCGUCCCCUCGCGCUCCUCCCCCGCCGCCUCCCCCACCCCGGGGCUCGCGGCAGGUCCUGAGCGGCUCGGCCCCAGAUCCCGAUCCCUCCCUCCCUCUCCCGGCCGCCGGGCUCCUUCUUCCUCCCUCUCCUCCUCCCCUUCCCACGUUCAGGCCCGGCUCCGGUUUCUGCCCAGACUUUCUCUGAAACUCCGCCGGAGUGCUUCCAGCCAAAACAACAAGGGCCGGGGGAGGAGACGGACGAAGGGAGGGAGCAAGGGAGGGAGGGAGCGCGAGUCCGAGAGGCACCCUGGGAUCUGUAGUUCGGGAAGCAGGAGCAGGGUCCUCCGCCGUCCGGCGGCCCCCAAUCGGCUCCUCGCCCGGGAAGACCGCAGAGGCCUCGGCUAGGGCAGAGGCACCGGGGCUUGGGCGCGGGGAAGACUGAGGGACAUUCGAAUGUUCAGUCCGGGGCUUGCCAUCUUGACUCAGCCCGGUGCCAGCUCGGAGCUUGUGCUGUGCUCGAGAUCAGGAGUUUCGAGGGUUUUCUUUACUUGAGAGCCUGAAAGGCAAAACCGCGGGGAGACCACCAUCCUGCCGGUCCCCGCCGCGCGAGAUUAAAGGACAGACCAAGAGGGCGCGGGAGCUACCAGCUUGGAGGGGAGGACAGAUGGGGACCCAGGGCUGGCCAGGGCUGGUCUCUGGAGCUGUUCUGCCAGAGUGAUGGGGGCGCUUGGCGAGGCCAAGGAUUUGGUUGGGUCCUAUCUCUGAGACAUUUUGAAGUCUCACACCCCUUCCAUUUGUUGCCUAUUCCACUUAACUUUGUAUUUGUUUGAAAUCUACUGUUCGGAUGCUGGACUAGAAGAGGGACACUUGGCCGGGCGCGGUGGCUCACGCCUGUAAUCCCAGCACUUUGGGAGGCCGAGGCGGGCGGAUCAACUGAGGUCGGGAGUUCAAGACCAGCCUGACCAACAUGGAGAAACCCAAUCUCUACUAAAAAUACAAAAAUUAGCCGGGCGUAGUGGCGCGCGCCUAUAAUCCCAGCUACUCGGGAGGCUGAGACAGGAAAAUAGCUUGAACCCGGGAGGCGGAGAUUGCGGUGAGCCGAGAUCGCGACACUGCGCUCCAGCCUGGGCAACAAGAGCAAAACUCCGUC
rnacentral:lncRNA from 1 species